rnacentral:rRNA from 1 species
AGCAGCCGCGGUAAUUCCAGCUCCAAUAGCGUAUAUUAAAGUUGUUGCAGUUAAAAAGCUCGUAGUUGAAUUUCGGGGCCAGUAGGUCGGUCGUGCCACUGGUAUGCACUGGUCUCACUGGUCCCUCCUUCUUGUAGAACCGUGAUGGCAUUAAUUUGUUGUUGCGGGGAAACAGGACUGUUACUUUGAAAAAAUUAGAGUGCUUAAAGCAGGCUCGCGCUUGAAUACAUUAGCAUGGAAUAACGAAAUAGGACGAUCGAACCUAUUUUGUUGGUUCCUAGGAUCGACGUAAUGAUUAAUAGGGAUAGUUAGGGGCAUUAGUAUUCAAUUGUCAGAGGUGAAAUUCUUGGAUUUAUUGAAGACUAACUACUGCGAAAGCAUUUGCCAAGGAUGUUUUCAUUAAUCAAGACGAAAGUUAGGGGAUCGAAGACGAUCAGAUACCGUCGUAGUCUUAACCAUAAACUAUGCCGACUAGGGAUCGGAUGAAGUUAAUUUUUUAAUGACUCAUUCGGCGCCUUAA